rnacentral:rRNA from 1 species
UACGGAGGGAGCUAGCGUUGUUCGGAAUUACUGGGCGUAAAGCGCACGUAGGCGGCUUUGUAAGUUAGAGGUGAAAGCCUGGGGCUCAACCCCAGAAUUGCCUUUAAGACUGCAUUGCUUGAAUCCAGGAGAGGUGAGUGGAAUUCCGAGUGUAGAGGUGAAAUUCGUAGAUAUUCGGAAGAACACCAGUGGCGAAGGCGGCUCACUGGACUGGUAUUGACGCUGAGGUGCGAAAGCGUGGGGAGCAAACAGG